UGUGAUGCUAACCUUUUUGUAAUUCAGGUCCUCCCUUAGGCAAAAUGAGGUCCCUUUCUGAAGGAAACAGAAGUUAAAAAAUACAGGUCAGAAAGAGCGCCAGCUAUGUGUCUCUCAUCGGCCUCACUUUGUAAUACUGCCCACUGGGGGGUUGAACUUCCAACAUACGGAUUGGGGGAGGGCACAGACAUUCAAAUCAUAACACCCAUUACUCUUAGGGAACAAAUUAUGUUCCAAGAGACUCUGGAAUAACAUCUAUAUACACACAUUGAUUCAGUGGGAGGCCAGGGGUUUAAUGGAAAUGAAUGGCUACGCAGAAGCUGACAGACACUGAGAACUGGCCUGAAGGGGAGAAAAUAGGACUGAAUGGAAGACAGUCUUACCGGUAUUUAUAUCUACGCUUUUAAUCACAUGCACUCUCGUCAGUAAGAAUAUGUCACCAGGACUGUGGCUGUGUUCAGCUUGAUUGCUGUCAUUCCUUGUCUCGGCAGCUUGUAGAAUGACUAGCGCGCGUCAUGGGACCCCGGCAAAAGACAAUACAGACAACAGGAAAAUGGACACCGUGAGUCUCAUCAGACUUCAGAAUCAUUUCUGUUCACUGAAGAAAGGCUCUUUAUGAAUUUGCUGCGCUGUUUAUAACGUGGGUGGCAGAACUGAUCGGGAUUGUCUAUUGGGACUUGAAGUAAAUAAACACAGAGGCAGUUGGCAAGAAGGGACCUCUGUAUUUCCAUGCCAUGGAUGUUGGCGUAUUUUGGUUUCAAGUGGCAGCAUUGGAUCUCGGGAUGCAAAAUAACUCCUGUUCCUUGGAAUCGAAAUGACUCCCUCAACGCCAUGAAUCUUGACAAUGAUGGAGUGAAGCCAAGGCCUCUGGCAGCCUCCCAAUUUAAAUGUCAUCUGUUCGCUGCAAGGACAGAUUCCGUCAGAUUCGAUAAUGUUCACUCGUGCCGCCUCUUGAACGUGAGAAUCUUCACCGUGGCAUUUUAAUCCAAAGCUGGCACUGUGAUAAAUGCCAGAUGAGAUUAUAAAUGGGGCACAGCGUUCAACGGUUACA